rnacentral:lncRNA from 1 species
GUUUUGUAGUGUUGUGGCACUAUUAGUUAGAGGCAGUGUACUUAGCACCUUUGAUGAUUUCAUUUCUCAGUCCAAGUUUUGACCCAUUCAAUGUUAUUCUCCGUCAGACUCGUGAGGCAUAUGACUUUAGAUUUCACCAUGAUAGGUGCACUUUUACUUCUAACUUAGAACUUUUCAUUUAUAGGUUUGGGGUUCUCGUACCCGUCGAUAAUUUUAUGCCUUGGUAGGUUCAUAUCAAUUAUGGUGUGCCUUUAUAUAUAAUUCAUGAUUUAAUGAAUACUCUCAUAGAUGAUUUCUUUUUAUAGUAGAUAGGAUGGAUUAGUGUGAUAUUUCCCUAGAGGUGUACUAUUUUGGUUUUAGUCCCAUUUACCUUAGCAUAUUAGCCUUCUUAUAGCCUUGUGUUGGUACUUGUUGAUUUUCAUUUUUGGGUUCCAUUUAUCUUUUAUACUAAUGUUUAUAUUACUAUUGUUAUUUUUUUUACUAUUUGGUAUUUAUCUAUUGUUUUUUGGUAGACGACUAUACUGGUAGUAUCUGGUUAUAAUUUUCUUUUCUUAGUGGUUCUUAUUUGUUGGCUAUGGAGGGUAGCUUGGUUGGAUGAUUUUUCUCUUGUAGUAAGGUGAGUUGGUCAUUUUUUCUUCUAUAAGUAAGGCUUCACCAAUUGUUGAGUAGAUUAUAGCAGCGAAGGUAAGUUUACCUUUCAUGGUUAUAUUAUGUUUCUAAAGAUGACAAUUAGCUAUACUAUUCAUUUUUAGGUUUACUAUUUCUUGAACUUGCCUCCUGGGUUACGGAUGUCUUAACAUUUUCCAUCCCACUCUAUGUAAACCAUUUCUAAAGUUAAUCAAUUUGGAGUCCAUUCUUCUAAUGUGGCUAGUUCAUCACCUAAUAGUGGUUUUGAUAUUGAUGUCAAGAAGUUUUGGAUUCAUCUUUUAGGUUUGUUGGGUUCAUCUCUUGAUGAUAGUUUUCUUAUGGUAUUGAUGUGGAGUUGGAUAGUCUAUUCUUGCCGUGAUGUGCCCCUUAUCUUUAUGGGGUUUUGAGAAGUAGAGAUAGGUGGUAUUUUCUUUAACCAUUUCCUAAGUUGGUGAGUUGGGUAUUUUUUGUUGAGAUGGAGUUUUGAUUGAUUAGUUUCUGGGCUUAAGUUUUAUUUAUCUAAGUAGCUAGAGUUUUGGGUAUCACUAGUAUGGUUUGUAGACUUAGUGAGUUCUUGAGUAUGCUUUGGUGGUUCAUGCCCUCUAGUGGAUAUAGAGUUGAUUACUUGUGUUUUCAAUUGGUGAUUUAUCCUCUGUUGUGAUUUUGUUCUUCAUCUAUUUUUUGAUUUUGAUAGUAAGGUAAAUUUGGUAUUUGGUCUUAGUUUAGGCUUGUUAAAUCAGUUUUAGAUUGACACUUUAGAAUGGUGAUUUGGAGGUUAUAAUAGAAUGGGAGUAUGGAUACUUACCCAUCUUUGGGUUUGGUUUGGGUAGUUGAGAUUCAGUGGUUCAUCCUUGGUUUCAAAAAAUUUAGUUUGG